UCGAUGCAACGCGAAAAACCUUACCUACCCUUGACAUGCCAGGAAUCCUGAAGAGAUUUGGGAGUGCUCGAAAGAGAGCCUGGACACAGGUGCUGCAUGGCCGUCGUCAGCUCGUGUCGUGAGAUGUUGGGUUAAGUCCCGCAACGAGCGCAACCCUUGUCAUUAGUUGCUACGAAAGGGCACUCUAAUGAGACUGCCGGUGACAAACCGGAGGAAGGUGGGGAUGACGUCAGGUCAUCAUGGCCCUUAUGGGUAGGGCUACACACGUCAUACAAUGGCCGGGACAGAGGGCUGCCAACCCGCGAGGGGGAGCUAAUCCCAGAAACCCGGUCGUAGUCCGGAUCGUAGUCUGCAACUCGACUGCGUGAAGUCGGAAUCGCUAGUAAUCGCGGAUCAGCUUGCCGCGGUGAAUACGUUCCCGGGUCUUGUACACACCGCCCGUCACACCAUGGGAGCGGGUUCUGCCAGAAGUAGUUAGCCUAACC
rnacentral:rRNA from 1 species